AACGCGAAGAACCUUACCUGGGUUGGAACCCUCCAGAAGUCCGCAGAGAUGUGGAUGUGCCCGCAAGGGAAUUGGAUGUCCAGGUGCUGCAUGGCUGUCGUCAGCUCGUGUCGUGAGAUGUUGGGUUAAGUCCCGCAACGAGCGCAACCCUCACCCUUAGUUGCUCGUCCGCAAGGAAAGCACCCUAAGGGAACUGCCUCGGAUAACGGGGAGGAAGGUGGGGAUGACGUCAAGUCCUCAUGGCCUUUAUGUCCAGGGCUACACACGUGCUACAAUGGCCGGUACAAACCGUCGCUAACCCGCGAGGGGGAGCCAAUCGGAAAAAACCGGUCUCAGUUCGGAUUGCAGGCUGCAACUCGCCUGCAUGAAGCUGGAAUCGCUAGUAAUCACGUAUCAGAACGACGUGGUGAAUACGUUCCCGGGCCUUGUACACACCGCUAUC
rnacentral:rRNA from 1 species